rnacentral:tRNA from 1 species
ACUGUCUUGGCAGAUAAUAUGUACUAGAUUUAGGAUCUAGGAAGAUAGAGUAAUUCUAUAGGCAGUU